rnacentral:rRNA from 1 species
UACGUAGGGUGCAAGCGUUAAUCGGAAUUACUGGGCGUAAAGCGUGCGCAGGCGGUUGUGCAAGACCGAUGUGAAAUCCCCGGGCUUAACCUGGGAAUGGCAUUGGUGACUGCACGGCUAGAGUGUGUCAGAGGGGGGUAGAAUUCCACGUGUAGCAGUGAAAUGCGUAGAGAUGUGGAGGAAUACCGAUGGCGAAGGCAGCCCCCUGGGAUAACACUGACGCCUCA